rnacentral:lncRNA from 1 species
GAAAGCUAAAUAGGCGAUGAUAUGAUAAUGUUUUUAAUUUUAAAACCACUUUUAACAGUGCUAUUUUAUUGCGAUGAAAUCUAGAGAUUUGAAAAUUUGAUUGCAAAAAAAAAAAAAGGAUUAGGGACCAAAAUAAAAAAUAGUGGAAAGGUUGGGGACCAAUAUGCAAUUAAUUUUUUAAAAAUUGUAUGUUGGCCCCACAACCCCGCAAAAUCAGGGGAGGCCUUCUUUAGGAUUCACAAUUCACGUUUAUAAAAAAAUUCGAAUUUUUUACUUUUGGGGAUUAAAGGAAGAAAAACAUGCAAACUUUAGAGACCAAAAUUGACAUGCAAAAGAAAGAUAAAUAAGCGAUGGCAUGAUAAUAUCGUUAAUUUUAUAACCUUUUUUAACAGUGCCAUUUUAUCGCGAUGAAAUAGAGAGAUUUGAAUUAGGGACCAAAAUACAAAAUGGUGGAAAGGUUGGGGACCAAUGUGCAAUUAAUCCUUAAAAAGUUGCAUGUGGGCCCCACAACCUCCCCAAAAUAAGAAAAAAUUUUCUUUAGGGUUCACAAUUCAUGUAUAUAUAUAUAGAGUCCAGCUACUAUACUUUAUGGCUCUGUUUGGUAACGGAAUAACUACAGAAUAAUCAAAUUUAUUCUCGUUAUUCUGCCAAACGAAAAAAAAAGUACCAAAAUAAUUUAUACCGGUCAAAGCGGGUUAUUCCAAUUUUUACUGGAAUAACCCGUUAAUUUAAUUCUUUUCCAAUCAUGGAAUAAGAUUUAUUCAUGGAACCCGAGGGGCAGCAUGGCCUUCUUUUUGGGUUGCCUUCAAAACCGCACCACUUUACCCACUUAUCAAAGCUCUCAUCUCUUCUCUUUUUCCAAUGCCAAGUAUAUAGAGAUUUGGUUUGUCCAAUGUAUUAAGAUUUAUAUUAGGAUUUUUGUUUAACUAUAUAAAUUUAUAUUAGAAUUUUUGUUUAACUAUGUAAAUUUAUUGGCAGUUAAAUAAAUUAGUUACCAUUGCAUAUAUUAUUAGUUAUUAUAGAUUUAUAAUUGUAUAAAUUCAUUUAAAAUUAUCUUACUUACUGCAUAUUGCACUGCUCUGCAGAAAAAAAUUAUUAUUUUUUUAAUUAUAAUUUUUGUAUUGUAAUUAUAUUUGAAAAAAAUAUAUUCAAAUUUAUCAAGUAUUGUAUAUGUAUUAUACAAAGAAAAAAAUUCACUGUAUAUAUAAGGGCAAACUUGGCAUUUUAAAAUAUUUCAAUCAACUUUACUAAUUAUUUUUCUCUUCUUUUAAGAAAGUUACCAAACAUCAUUUUGUCUAUUGCAGAGAAUAAGUAAAAAUUUUGCCAAACAAAAAAUUACUUUCAUUCCUCUCUAUCCUAGAAUAUCUCAAUAUUCUAGGAAUAAAAAAAUUUAACCCUGCAGAAGUUAUCCCGUUACCAAACACGGCCUGUGAGUACGAUCGCCUUCGUACUUAUAAGUCGUUUUCAUUGAUAGAGCUUCUGAAUUGACGAUCUAUACCAGUAAAAAUUAUUUAGAGCAUUAAAAAUUUCUAGAAAUCAAAUUUUAUAAAUUUUUGAUAUUAUUUACCUUACGAUCAAAAGAUCUCAAAAUUGACAAUUUUUAACGGCUGGCACGGGAUACUUGCUAGUUUAACAAUGUAAAAGAAUCGGAAUCAGUUGAAUUUUUGAUAGAAAAUUCUAUUCAUUAUCUAGAUAAAGAUUAAUAACUCCGAUUUUAAAUUGAAGUAUCCGAUCAUUUAUUUUUAGGAUGUCGUUUGAUUUUGACCGUUCAUUUUAUACUCGCUUGAUAGACUUUAUUAUGGACAAUUAGGAUGUCGGGUAGAUCGAGUGGCAUUAAACUUAGUGUUAUUAAACGUAGGUUGGAAAUAAGCCUAGAGUCGUGAACCUAGGAUGAAUGUAAGUGGAAAUAAACCUAGCGUCGUGAACCUAGGAUGAAUACGAGUGGCAUUAACCUAGUGUCGUGAACAUAGGUUGAAUACGAGUGGCAUUGAACCUAGUGUUAAAGAACAUAGAUUAAGAAUUAAACC